GAUGAACGCUGGCGGCGUGCUUAACACAUGCAAGUCGAGCGAAGCAAUUUAAAGGAAGUUUUCGGAUGGAAUUUAGAUUGACUUAGCGGCGGACGGGUGAGUAACGCGUGGGGAACCUGCCUCGUACUGGGGGAUAACAGUUAGAAAUGACUGCUAAUACCGCAUAAGCGCACAGGAUGGCAUCAUCUGGUGUGAAAAACUCCGGUGGGAUGAGAUGGACCCGCGUCUGAUUAGCUAGUUGGUAGGGUAACGGCCUACCAAGGCGACGAUCAGUAGCCGACCUGAGAGGGUGACCGGCCACAUUGGGACUGAGACACGGCCCAAACUCCUACGGGAGGCAGCAGUGGGGAAUAUGCACAAUGGGCGAAAGCCUGAUGCAGCGACGCCGCGUGAGUGAAGAAGUAUUUCGGUAUGUAAAGCUCUAUCAGCAGGGAAGAAAAUGACGGUACCUGACUAAGAAGCCCCGGCUAACUACGUGCCAGCCGCCGCCGUAA
rnacentral:rRNA from 1 species